CGGCUGUGAUGACUCCUUAGGACACCUUUGGAUUCUCCAUGAAAAGAACUGAAUGAGUCUGAGCCGC
ensembl:snoRNA SNORD58 Small nucleolar RNA SNORD58